GCCUACGGCCAUACCACCCUGAACAUGCCCGAUCUCAUCUGAUCUCGGAAGCUAAGCAGGGUCGGGCCUGGUUAGUACUUGGAUGGGAGACUAUUAUAUUAUUAGUA
rnacentral:rRNA from 1 species